GGGGAAUAUUGCACAAUGGGGGAAACCCUGAUGCAGCGACGCCGCGUGGAGGAAGAAGGUCUUCGGAUUGUAAACUCCUGUUGUUGAGGAAGAUAAUGACGGUACUCAACAAGGAAGUGACGGCUAACUACGUGCCAGCAGCCGCGGUAAAACGUAGGUCACAAGCGUUGUCCGGAAUUACUGGGUGUAAAGGGAGCGCAGGCGGGCGAUCAAGUUGGAAGUGAAAUCCAUGGGCUCAACCCAUGAACUGCUUUCAAAACUGAUUGUCUUGAGUAGUGCAGAGGUAGGCGGAAUUCCCGGUGUAGCGGUGGAAUGCGUAGAUAUCGGGAGGAACACCAGUGGCGAAGGCGGCCUACUGGGCACCAACUGACGCUGAGGCUCGAAAGUGUGGGUAGCAAACAGGAUUAGAUACCCUGGUAGUCCACACCGUAAACGAUGAUUACUAGGUGUUGGAGGAUUGACCCCUUCAGUGCCGCAGUUAACACAAUAAGUAAUCCACCUGGGGAGUACGACCGCAAGGUUGAAACUCAAAGGAAUUGACGGGGGCCCGCACAAGCAGUGGAGUAUGUGGUUUAAUUCGACGCAACGCGAAGAACCUUACCAAGUCUUGACAUCCUGCGACGAUGCUAGAAAUAGUAUUUUCCUUCGGGACGCAGAGACAGGUGGUGCAUGGUUGUCGUCAGCUCGUGUCGUGAGAUGUUGGGUUAAGUCCCGCAACGAGCGCAACCCUUAUGGUCAGUUACUACGCAAGAGGAUUCUGGCCAGACUGCCGUUGACAAAACGGAGGAAGGUGGGGAUGACGUCAAAUCAUCAUGCCCUUUAUGACUUGGGCUACACACGUACUACAAUGGCGUUAAACAAAGAGAAGCAAGACCGCGAGGUGGAGCAAAACUCAGAAACAACGUCCCAGUUCGGACUGCAGGCUGCAACUCGCCUGCACGAAGUCGGAAUUGCUAGUAAUCGCAGAUCAGCAUGCUGCGGUGAAUACGUUCCCG
rnacentral:rRNA from 1 species